AUUGAACGCUGGCGGCAGGCCUAACACAUGCCAGUCGAGCGGAUGAAGGGAGCUUGCUCCUGGAUUCAGCGGCGGACGGGUGAGUAAUGCCUAGGAAUCUGCCUGGUAGGGGGGGAUAACGUCCGGAAACGGGCGCUAAUACCGCAUACGUCCUGAGGGAGAAAGUGGGGGAUCUUCGGACCUCACGCUAUCAGAUGAGCCUAGGUCGGAUUAGCUAGUUGGUGGGGUAAAGGCCUACCAAGGCGACGAUCCGUAACUGGUCUGAGAGGAUGAUCAGUCACACUGGAACUGAGACACGGUCCAGACUCCUACGGGAGGCAGCAGUGGGGAAUAUUGGACAAUGGGCGAAAGCCUGAUCCAGCCAUGCCGCGUGUGUGAAGAAGGUCUUCGGAUUGUAAAGCACUUUAAGUUGGGAGGAAGGGCAGUAAGUUAAUACCUUGCUGUUUUGACGUUACCAGCAGAAUAAGCACCGGCUAACUUCGUG
rnacentral:rRNA from 1 species